ACGGACGCUGGCGGCGUGCCUCAUACCUGCCAGUCGAACGCAUUUUCUUUCACCGUAGCUUGCUACACCGAAAGAAAAUGAGUGGCGAACGGGUGAGUAACACGUGGGUAACCUGCCCAUCAGCGGGGGAUAACACUUGGAAACAGGUGCUAAUACCGCAUAAUUCCAUUUACCGCAUGGUAGAUGGAUGAAAGGCGCUUUUGCGUCACUGAUGGAUGGACCCGCGGUGCAUUAGCUAGUUGGUGGGGUAACGGCCUACCAAGGCUGCGAUGCAUAGCCGACCUGAGAGGGUGAUCGGCCACACUGGGACUGAGACACGGCCCAGACUCCUACGGGAGGCAGCAGUAGGGAAUCUUCGGCAAUGGACGCAAGUCUGACCGAGCAACGCCGCGUGAGUGAAGAAGGUUUUCGGAUCGUAAAACUCUGUUGUUAGAGAAGAACAAGGAUGAGAGUGGAAAGUUCAUCCCUUGACGGUAUCUAACCAGAAAGCCACGGCUAACUACGUG
rnacentral:rRNA from 1 species